AAAUAAUUAUAACCUUCCAUGGCCAAGAGGCUGAGCGAGAGGGUGGGGAGAAGGAUGGGGUGGUGGCGGACGAGGAUGUGUCGAGGAUAUGGGCGCAGAUGCGCACCUGGUACUGUGUGUGGCCAGUGAUAGGGCUUUAGCUGAAUCCCACUAGCCUUGACAACUUCUUGGUUUGCCGAUCCACAGGCACCACACCAUCUAGAUCUGCCCCUGUAUUUCCUGCUUUGAGAUAAGAUAAUUAUGCUACUGUGAGCUCUUGUUGGGGCCUGUCCUUGUUUAUGAUAGAUUGGGAAUCACAUAGUGCUUCAGUGUAUAGAGUAGCUGUUUUUUUUUCCGUAAUCAUUUCAGUAUGAGAUUAUGGGAUGAUCUACCAGUGCUCCGAAAAGAAUCAUUUCAGGUUACAGUCUUGUAUGUAUACAUAUCGAGUUCUCUGUAGUUGCAGCAUGUCCACACUUAAGUAGUCAUGUUACUUUAUAUGAGUCUCAAUUUUCUGAUAACCGUUUUACCCUACACACAUUUCAGCCUUGGAAGAACUUCUAUUGUUGCAAUGGAGGCCAAAAUUUUCCAGUUUCUCAAUCUUGUUGGAGUCGGCUUUAAAGCAAGAACAGAACGCAAAGUCUGUGAGCAAUUUCUGAAAGUAGGCUACAACCAGGAGUUCAAGAGGCUCUUAAUAUGAAUGAAUCUGAAAUGCAUGGUCGUCAGAUCAAGGUUUCAGCAAAGAGUACCAAUGUCCCUCGGAUGAAGCAGCAUCCACCACGCGGAGCAUUUAAUCCAUACCAUGGAUACCCUUAUAGAUCAUAUGGGUUACCGUAUUUUCCACCUUACGGUGGUUAUGGGAGAGUUUCCAGAUUUCGUCGGCCAACCCGCUAGAGGCCUUACUACUGAAGUAUGACGUUUCAUGAAUAGCUAUACCAACCAUAGUCGAUGUGCGGAAUAAUUAGUCUACAUGCCGUUUAGAUAAAUUUAUGUGCAGCCAUGGCCAACUUAGCUUCUUCAGUGGUAACUAAAUGCAAUCUGGCAGCUAAGUUAGUUAUGUUGGUUGAUUCAGAAUACUCUUUAUCCUAGUUUUUUAAUUGUUUAAUUUACAUUCUGGUUUU